UACGGAGGGUGCAAACGUUGCUCGGAAUCAUUGGGCGUAAAGCGAACGUAGGCGGCUAUGUAAGUCGGGUGUGAAAGCCCUCGGCUCAACCGAGGAAGUGCAUUCGAAACUGCAUGGCUUGAGUAUCGGAGAGGAUAGCGGAAUUCCCGGUGUAGAGGUGAAAUUCGUAGAUAUCGGGAGGAACACCAGUGGCGAAGGCAGCCCCCUGGGAUAACACUGACGCUCAUGCACGAAAGCGUGGGGAGCAAACAGG
rnacentral:rRNA from 1 species